GGUGGCAGUGACCUGAUAUUCUGACCUUAUAAACUGUGUCUCUUUAGGGUGAACUAGAUUGUUAAGAGUUAGUUGUAAUAGGAUAAAACAGACAAGUUUUCUCGAGAAGCAGGCUGCAUGAGUCAUGGGUCAUCAUCUGGAGAGCCACAUCGCUAAAGCACUCAAAGUAACUUUUUGUUAGGUGUACCAUUCAAAAGUCCCAGGUGCCACAAGUUACCUACGACAGGAACAAAAUGAUGACUGAAGGAAAAUACUCAGUUUGUAAAAUUGGUCGUUAGAACUUCUAAAUAUGUGGUAUGGUAUCAAAAAUGGAACAUACCAGCAAGAUGUGGAGGGUAGUAAAUUGGAAGAAGAACUGAUUCAGUGGACAAAAAGAUGAUGAUAAAAGGAUCCAUAAGAAAUGAUUCAGACAAAAAUAGCAUUAAUUUUCUAGGUUGUUCAAUUAUUCUGAACCGAUCAAUGGGCUGAUUGAACAAAUCUAUCAAUAAUGAACCUAUAAUUACUACUGGAAACAACUAUAAGUCAAAUAAACUUCAAUAAAGAAAUAUAUGUAAU